UACGGGGGGGGCAAGCGUUGUUCGGAAUUACUGGGCGUAAAGCGCGUGUAGGCGGCAUUGCAAGUCGGGUGUGAAAGCCCUCAGCUCAACUGAGGAAGUGCGCCCGAAACUGCAGUGCUUGAGAACCGGAGAGGAUGGCGGAAUACCCCAAGUAGAGGUGAAAUUCGUAGAUAUGGGGUGGAACACCGGUGGCGAAGGCGGCCAUCUGGACGGAUUCUGACACUGAGACGCGAAAGCGUGGGUAGCAAACAGG
rnacentral:rRNA from 1 species